CGCAGGGAGCGAAGCCCAAGCUAACUCCGGGGAGGAUGCCUCAGCACUUUCUCUAUUAUGCAUUUCCAGCACAAGGAAAGCUAAUUCCUCCGCUGAGGGCCUCAAUCAGGCAUUUAUUUGACACUCAUGAUGCAUGAACGGCUAAACACUAGUCUAAGCGGAGGAUCAGCCGCUAGUUUAUAGCUCGCAAGGGUUUUUUUUUAUGCAGGAGGGAAACAUUCUGGCCGGGAGUUUUGACUGGCACCCCUCCCCACGGCCCUCUCCUGAUCUCCAGUCUUCCCUGCUGUCCCCCCUCGCCUCUCCUCGCUGCCUGCUGGUUCGGUCGAAGUUCUCAGGCAUCCCAGCAGGGCCGGGCCGUGCUGCGCUGCCGGGCCCCUACACACCGCGGCGGGGAAACGCUCCCCCGGGGCACGGAGGCAUAACAUGGAGCAGGGAGAGUCACGGAGACAACAUGGAGGGGGGAGAAGAGGAGGAGAGGAGAAACCAUAUGGAGCAGGAGAGAGGGAGGUAACGCGGAGCGAGGGAGCCGGGAGAGCCUGGGAAGGAGCAAGGAGCAGGGCGGCCGCCGCGGUCCGAGGCACUGGGGCACGCGGCAGUGGCCCCGGCGAGGCCUGCGGGGGCUGGGGGGCACGGCGGCGAGGAGGAUCGAACCCCACUGCCAGCGCUCCCGGGAGGCUGCGCUUUCUCCUCCAUCUCCCCCGUGCCUUCUCGGCCACUGCCCUUUAUUCCUCCUGUGGAGAAUUAAUUUUUCUCCCCUCCCGCUAGCCUCUUUCCAACUGUUGUUCCAGGACUGAAAAAAAAAAUAACAAUUAAGUAGGAGUCAUGUCUUGUGACUUGCACAAUCUCUUCUAACGCCUCAGUUCAAUUUUACACAACAUUUAAUACAAAUAUUAAAAAUCAAUAUAUCAAGGGGGUUGUUAAUGAAAUGUUACAGUGAGUGUGUGUCACCAGAUAGAAUUUCGGUGGGAAACGUGUCUGAUUUAGCAAAAGCUGAAUGCUGUUGUAUUCUUUAUCCUCCUCCUAAAAACAAAAGAUAAAGGUGUUCAUUAAAUCAUAUCAAA